rnacentral:rRNA from 1 species
UACGGAGGAUGCAAGCGUUAUCCGGAAUGAUUGGGCGUAAAGCGUCCGCAGGUGGCUAUGUAAGUCUGCUGUUAAAGAGUGAGGCUCAACCUCAUAAGAGCAGUGGAAACUACAUGGCUAGAGUGCGUUCGGGGCAGAGGGAAUUCCAGGUGUAGCGGUGAAAUGCGUAGAUAUCUGGAGGAACACCGGUGGCGAAGGCGGCAUCCUGGACCAACACUGACGCUGAGUGAGCGAAAGCCAGGGGAGCAAACGGG